CUCCUGUCAGCUCCCUUCUCUCUCCUCCGUUCCGGUCAGCUCCACUGCAAGUCUCGCGGGACUUACAGUGGAGCUGACCAGAACAGAGGACAGAGAAGGGAGCUAACAGGAG